rnacentral:rRNA from 1 species
CAGUAGCGUAUAUUAAAGUUGCUGCAGUUAAAAAGCUCGUAGUUGGAUUUCUGGCUUGACGCGCCUGGCCCGCUACCGUUAGGUAUGUGAGUGCCGGUGCGCGUCUGCCAUCUUGAUAGAAGGUCUGUUUACUCUUGAUUGAGUCAAGCGGUAUCCUCUAUCUCUUUUACUUUGAAAAAUUAGAGUGUUUAAAGCAGGCGUUUUGCUAUGAAUACAUUAGCAUGGAAUAAUAAUAUAGGAUUUCUUACCUAUUUUGUUGGUUUCUAGGUAAUAAAUAAUGAUUGAUAGGGAUAGUUGGGGGUGCUUGUAUUUAGCGGCCAGAGGUGAAAUUCUUGGAUUCGCUAAAGACAAACUUAUGCGAAAGCAUUCACCAAGGAUGUCUUUUUAAUCAAGAACGAAAGUUGGGGGAUCGAAGACGAUUAGAUACCGU